AUGCUCACUUCACUGCUCAUGCUCCUGCGCAACAUCCGUCGGUACAUCGCGCUACACCGUUGGCACGAGCGGCGUAGCCAACGUGCGGAGCGCUGUGGCAUUGACGGCGGAGGGAACCCAUGGUGGCCGCAGAGCUGCAGCGAGGGGAGCGAGGUCGCUGGGGCAGAGGGUGCCGGUGAAGGCGCCCCCUCCGCCGAAGUCCAACAAGCCCGUGAAGGCCAAGCCUCCGCGACCACGGCCGCCGGCGCCGCCUCCGCCAUGCACUCCGGUGGGCGGUGGCAGAUGGUAGAUUCAGUUGAUGUGCUGCUUUAG
rnacentral:rRNA from 1 species